rnacentral:lncRNA from 1 species
GUUGACUGCCAAGGAAACAAUACCUCUCAUAGGAGUAUGCAUGGGAAAGGUUGCUGCUCUCACAGUAGAAGGGAGGAGGAUUUGAUGACAGGUAGUACUUACAAGCCAUUCUUUGUCAUCAGCAUGUAGGGAAAGUCCCGGGGUAACAAACCAAGGCAUAUAGACUUUAAAUGGAGCUUCAUUUCCUUACCAAUAUGAUGCUCAAUUUCAGACAAAUGAAAGAGGACCACCCUGUCUUCCUGCCUCCCGGAUCAGGCUCUGCUCUCUUGUCCACUACCACAGGCUCAGUGUUACCCACAGCAGUUCUUCCCUCUUUGUGAAGAUGUGCUCUGCUAAAGGUGUUCAGUAGACAUUUACAUCAAGAACAGGAAUCUGGUGACCACAUAAGCAAGUGAUGAGAUAGAAUGUUCAAUGGACAACUGUGCCAGCUUUCAUGAGAGAUCGGCAGCAGCUCAGAAGUUGAGAUAUUUGGAGCCGUGUGCCCUCGGUGAAGGAUUGCUUCAGCUCAAACCAAGGGCAGGGGCUGGGAACAGAAAGUACUUCAUCCCCGAAAGCAGUUGAUCAAAAAUGAAUGUACUGUCAAAAAAAGCUGACAAGAAUAAGGCAUGAUUGUGAAGUGAAGGAUAUUCUUCUCUGGGCAAACAGGCUGAUACUGCCAAGGAUACAUUUGACAGCAGCAGUGUGGGAGCUCACACCCAGCAAGCAAGGAAAAUUACACAGGGUAAUGGGUGUGGCUUUUCUGCCUAGAGUUCAGUUGGCCAGUUGUAAAUGAAAUAGCUGCAACAGCCCAGUAUUCCUAUGAGUAAUCAAAUAUUGCUCAUCAAGGGCAGGUACACUGUGGCUCACAGUAUUAAACCCUAACUGUAG